AACGAACGCUGGCGGCAGGCUUAACACAUGCAAGUCGAACGCCCCGCAAGGGGAGUGGCAGACGGGUGAGUAACGCGUGGGAAUCUACCCAAUACUACGGAAUAAUUCCGGGAAACUGGAACUAAUACCGUAUGUGCCCUACGGGGGAAGGAUUUAUCGGUAUUGGAUGAGCCCGCGUUGGAUCAGCUAGUUGGUGGGCUAACAGCCUACCAAGACGACGAUCCAUAGCUGGUCUGAGAGGAUGAUCAGCCACACUGGGACUGAGACACGGCCCAGUCUCCUACGGGAGGCAGCAGUGGGGAAUAUUGGACAAUGGGCGAAAGCCUGAUCCAGCCAUGCCGCGUGAGUGAUGAAGGCCUUAGGGUUGUAAAGCUCUUUUAGUGGGGACGAUAAUGACGGUACCCACAGAAAAAGCCCCGGCUAACUUCGUGCCAGCAGCCGCGGUAA
rnacentral:rRNA from 1 species